rnacentral:rRNA from 1 species
GAUGAACGCUGGCGUCGUGCCUAAUACAUGCAAGUCGAGCGCAGCGGGGACGGGUCAGUAACACGUGGAUAAACUCCUAUAACACUGGGAUAACUUCGGGAAACCGGAGCUAAACCGGAUACUUAACAAUGCAUCCGCGCUGCAUUAGCUAGUUGGUAAGGUAACCGCGUACCAAGGCAACGAUGCAUCACCGACCUGAGAGGGUGGUCGGCCACACUGGAACUGAGACACGGUCCAGACUCCUACGGGAGGCAGCAGUAGGGAAUCUGCCGCAAGGGGCGAAAGCCUGACGGAGCAACGCCGCGUGAGUGAUGAAGGUCUUCGGAUCGUAAAACUCUGUUAUUAGGGAAGCGGUACUUAAUCAGAAAGCCACGGCUAACUACGUGCCAGCAGCCGCGGUAAUAC